rnacentral:lncRNA from 12 species
AUGGUAAAUUUUCAGGUGGUUUUUUUUUUUUUAAGAUUUUAUUUAUUUAUUCAUGAGAGACAGAGAGAGAAAGAGACACAGGCAGAGGGAGAAGCAGGCUCCAUGCAGGGAGCCCGACAUGGGACUCGAUCCCAGGUCUCCAGGGUCACGCCCUUGGCCGAAGGCGGCGCUAAACCGCUGAGCCACCAGGGCUGCCCUAAAUUUUCGGUUUUAUGGUACCAGCGCAUUCAUCACUUACUGUCCUGCUGGCAGGGAUACUACAAGGGGGACAAAACCGGUACUCCUUUGCAAAUGGCAUUUAGGCAGGUUUCCCCUCUUUCUCCCCUGCCUCUCCCCGCUCCUUCUCCUACGGGGACCUUCUCAGGAGGCCCCACCUCUCCCUUGGGCGGGGCCGGCAGUGUGGACACUAGAUUUGUCUUACUCCUGCAGCCAGAUUGUUUCAACUCCCCCCCACCUCCCAGGAACAAUGAGGUGAAGCUCGGGCUUGAAGGCAAGUGGUGGCUGCCUAUUCCGGAUGUGAGGUGCCGCGGCGGCCCCGAGGUGCCCCAAGACUGCACGAUGGAGGGUGACUGGGUCUGUCCCUCCGGCGCGCGGCCUCCGCCAGAUUGCAGUUCUGCCUUUCAAUAUUACAUGGUAUCAGGAGUGGGAUUCAAAGUGACCAGCAGUCAUCUCCAGCACUUGCUGCCAUCUCCAGCACUGCCAUGGAUUUGAGUAAG